CUUAUUAAUCUAAUAAACAGAUGAACUAGUAAAAAUUCUAUAUAGUGUAGUGAAACUUUCGUUGAACAACAGUUUUUUAAAAAUCUUAAAGAUUUCUUGAUAUUUACAUAAUAAUAUCAUGUAUUUAAAAAGGGAAAAUCUGAAAAAAAAAUUAAACUAAUUUUUAUUAUUAGAACUUUUGAUUAAAAAGUGUGAUAGGAUUAUACGUGACGUGACGCAUUACCAUUGCAGCUUAAUAUCACAUCAUUUUAACAUUUUACAUUUCAACUCAACUUUAAUAAUUAGAACAAGGCUAAAAAUGUACUUUGUUGAACUCUGCUCGUUUUGAAAUGUCUCGUACUCUUAUAUAAAGAUAAAUCACUCUCCGGUACUACUUAGUUGGUACCCACAAUAAUAUACAGAUAUACUAGUCCCAGUAAUGUCUCCCAAUGGAACGUGCAUCAGAUACCGUAUUCGCAAUAACGUCGGUAAUACAGCUGGUUAAGCAAUGUGCGACGUGACUGGACAAUUGGUAGCCUAAUAUCUAUAACCAUAACGAUAUGAUAUAGUAUUAUUAAAAC